rnacentral:lncRNA from 10 species
CCAAUGCACACUAUCCAUUUCUGCCAACUCACCUCUGCAUUCCCCUACAACCUCAUCUUCAAGUCUUGGGCUCGUCUUUAAAGCUGGGGGGACACCUACUAUACAGCACCCUCCACGGAUGAAGUAAGAAGCCUACCUGCUUUUGAAGCUCUCAGUCUCACCUCCUCUUCCUCUCAUCUUCUUUCCCAUUCAUCUUCAAGCCUGCCCUAUGGCUCCUACAAACAGGCUCCCACUCCAGCAUCCCAAAUACACUUUCUCCCAAACUUGCGGCUCCUCCCUUUCCUCUUCUUUCCAUAGCCAGGCUUUUGAAAUGGGUUGUCGAGUCUUUGAGGGGGAGGCACUGGGCCACACCUGAGAUCAGUCUGCAGCUUGGCGCCUUGGCUAUCCUAUUUGGGAAGCACUGAGCUAAUGUCUCUUCUCUCUACCUUUAACACCACCACUUGCCUGGAACACUUCCCUCCAUGGGCACCAGUAACUUCCUAAUAGCUGAAUUCCAAAAGCUCCUCUUAUUUUUUAUUUUUAUUUAUUUCUUAGAGACAGGGUCUCACUGUCUGUCACCCAAGCUGGGGUGCAGUGGCACAAUCAUAGUUCACUGUAGCCUUGAACUCCUGAGCUACCACCAUGCCCGGACAAGUUUUAAAAUUUUGUUAGAGAUUGGGUCUUGCAAUGUUGUACAGGCUGGUCUUGAACUUCUGGCCUCAAAAUAUCCUUCUGCCACAGCCUCCUGAGUAGCUGGGAUUACAGGCACAAGCCACAGCAUCUGGCUCAAAAGCUCCUCUUGACUCCUCGAUCUUCUUGUCCCCUCUCUCUCUGUGGCAUCUAACACCAAGGACACUCUCUUUUCUUUCUCUCUUCUGUCUCUCUCUCUCUUUCGCUCUUAUUGCCCAGGCUGGAUUCUUUCUUCCUUUCAGAUGGAGUUUCACUCUUGUUGCCCAGGUUGGAGUGCAAUGGUGCGAUCUCAGCUCACUG